AAUAAGUUCUUGCUCAAUUUCCUUAACACAUUCCCUUCCCAUUGUAAGGCAUUUCGCUUCGCACAAUCCAACCGAUCCUGUAAGACUUUGAUUCUCACCCGAUAAUUAGAAUUAAGACUUCUAUUCCAAAUUGUAAUUGCCCUUCUACAAGAUUUAAGCUUUGAAAACACAUUAAACAGCAUAGAUCCUCUAUAGUUUUGUUCCUAAGCUGACCCUAUUAUCUCCUCCAACACAGGCAUGUUUGACCAUUGGGCAUCAAAAUAGAAAUAUUUUCUAACUUUCUAAAAAGGACUUACAGUGAGGAGCAACAGUUUAUGGUCUGAACCUCUGUCCUCUAAAUGAUUUACCAAAGCAUGAGGAUAUAAGCAACCCAAGUCCAGGAGCCCAAAAUCAUUUAUGAACUGUCUGAAAAUGUUUAGAUAAGAGUCGAUUGGCCUAUCUCCACCCUGCUUCUCCUCUGAACAACAAACAGAAUUGAAGUCACCCAACACAAUACAAGAAUCUGACACAUUCAAUUUAUAAUUCAGAAGGUAAUAAAACUGGCUACUUCUUUCAUUGUCAUCACAACGGCAUAUACAAAAAGAGCCUCCCAGCAGGAGCCUAGCUGCUUGAUAAGAAAUAUUUACAUGGAUGAAAAAAGAAGAAAACUUAAUUAAAGAGAAUCAAACUGCUUUUCCAAGCAAGACACAGACCCCUAGCAAGACCAAUUGGGUCAAUAAACAAAAAGAUCAAAGAACCCACAGCUUUGAAUUUUUCUUCUAAUAACAGUAGUCCUUUUUUUUUUCUCCAUUAAAAAUAAAAUGUCUAGGGAAUGAGAUUUACCAAUCUCUUUAAGAUUAUGAAUGUCAGGGGGUUCCCACACCCUGACAAUUCUAUCCCAGAAUCUUCAUUGAGGAAGUUGGGGCCAAUUUCGGCUGGCUGCCCCCACCGUCAGAUCAGACCCCGAAAUAGAGCCUUUAAUUUUCUUUCCACCCUCCUGUGUUUGUUCCUUCUUCCUUUUAUUUAGAGCUUCCAUAGAACCAGAGAAAAGCAUUUGAGGAGAACCCGUAGAGUGAUUAGAUUGAAUCUCCUGUAUAACCAUCCCAGAAAGUUCCCGCGCCUGCCUUUUCCAGUGUCUAGUUUUCCUAAAGUUUCUCUCCUCAGUAAUUAACUGCUGCUUGUCAAUAUUUGCCAGAGCAACAUCCUUAUUCUUGAGUAUGGCAGCAAUUUGUAUCAUCUGAUCCCAUGAGAGAAAAUCUUCUAGACUCAACAGAUGUUUCUGAAUUUUCAAACUAGAGCAUUUGGAGAGAAAAUUUCUUUUCUUUUCAUGCCAUUUACUCUCUAUUUUUUGAGCAAAACUAUUAUCAGGUGACUCUGAAAAGGUUGUUAUUAACGGCUCCCUAAGGUUUGGGCCUUCUUUAUGAGAAAAAUUCUGAAUCUUUCUAGCAGGCUAUGAACUCUUCUUAAUCACCUCUUGGCUUUUUGAAAGAAUGGGCUCUUUUUUUCUACUCCACCCCC
rnacentral:lncRNA from 1 species